rnacentral:rRNA from 1 species
UACGGAGGAUGCAAGCGUUAUCCGGAAUUAUUGGGCGUAAAGCGUCCGCAGGUGGCACUUCAAGUCUGUCGUCAAAGACCGGGGCUUAACCCUGGAAAGGCGAUGGAAACUGAAAGGCUAGAGAGAGGUAGGGGUAGAGGGAAUUCCCAGUGUAGCGGUGAAAUGCGUAGAGAUUGGGAAGAACAUCGGUGGCGAAAGCGGCGUCCUGGACCAACACUGACACUGAUGAGCGAAAGCCAGGGGAGCAAACGGG